GCCGGGCGCACUGGCGCGCCCCUGUAGUCCCAGCUACUUGGGAGGCUGAGCAGUGGGAGGAUUACUUGAGUCCAGGAGUUCUGGGCUGCAGUGCGCUAUGCCGAUGGGGUGUCUGCACUAAGUUCAGCAUCAAUAUGGUGACCUCCCGGGAGUGGGGGACCACCAGGUAGCCUAAGGAGGGGUGAACCGGCCUAGGUCGGAAAAGAAUGUAAUAAUAUACUGUUUUGCUUUAUGUUACUAUUUUGGAAGUGAAGUUCUUUCUAUAUGUUAAAACAGGAUACUU
rnacentral:SRP_RNA from 1 species